GACAGGUUGGUUGAGUGGUCUAAGGCGCCAGAUUUGGGCUCUGGUCCGAAAGGGCGUGUGUUCAAAUCCCACAGCUUUCA
rfam:Picea glauca, whole genome shotgun sequence.